AAGGUGAGGUCAGUAAUCAGGGUAAAGUCGUAACAAGGCAUCCGUAGCGGAAGCUGUGGAUGGAUCACCUCCUUU
rnacentral:rRNA from 1 species